rnacentral:rRNA from 1 species
GUAGGUGGCAAGCGUUGUCCGGAAUUAUUGGGCGUAAAGCGCGCGCAGGCGGUUCUUUAAGUCUGAUGUGAAAGCCCACGGGCUCAACCGUGGAGGGUCAUUGGAAACUGGAGAACUUGAGUACAGAAGAGGAAAGCGGAAUUCCACGUGUAGCGGUGAAAUGCGUAGAGAUGUGGAGGAACACCAGUGGCGAAGGCGGCUUUCUGGUCUGUAACUGACGCUGAGGCGCGAAAGCGUGGGGAGCAAACAGGAUUAGAUACCCUGGUAGUCCACGCCGUAAACGAUGAGUGCUAAGUGUUAGGGGGUUUCCGCCCCUUAGUGCUGCAGCCAACGCAUUAAGCACUCCGCCUGGGGAGUACGGCCGCAAGGCUG